AAAAAAAAGGCUGGCGAAACAGGAGGCUUUUUGUCCCUCGAGGCUUUCCGUCGCGCCUGAGCGAGCGCGCGCGCGCGCUCCUCAGCGGCUCCGCCUACUUCCUCUCGCUAUAUAAGGCGAAGCCCGCGCGCCCGCGGCCAUUUGUUGCUGGGUUCGGCGAGUGAGUCUGCGGCCGGCCGCUGCGAAGUACGUCGAGCGCGCCUUUCACGCGCUUCGGAGGGCGCUGCUGGCGGCCGUCGGGACGGUGCGAGCAGGGUGUGAACUACAGCUCCCAUCUUCCUCAGCCGGCUGGGGAAGACGGGGCCGGCUUAGCUUGGCGGCGCGAAGCCGGGUGAAGCGGAAGGGCAGAGCCGCCGGUCUCUGCCGCUUGCAAGUCAAGCUGGUGUCAGUGCAGGGGGGGCUCCCUCCACACCCACCCACGCCGCGGGGACUUCCCGAGGGGGGUCUCGCUCGGGGUCCUCUCAGGUGCCCGCUCAGCCUCCGCGUGGACUUGCCUUGCGGGGGAGCGGAGGACGAAGCGGCGUGGGUUCCCCCGCUUCCUCGUGGCUUUUGCCAUUUCCUCUUGCGGGGUGGGUGGAGUCGGUUGAGGGGAGCCUCGGUGCACUCGGAAGCAGGGGCCGCCUGCUCCGGUAUUUUGGAGCCGCCAGCGGGACUGGUGGGCGGGCGUGGUUGCAGCCCUUGUCUCCAAAGGGAGGAAGGCUAGAAACGGUCUCGCCUGCCUUCGGACUAGAGAGUAGGGUAGGAGUAGGGAGUAGAGUAGGAAGUAGAGGUAGGGUAGGAGUGGAAGUUGAGUAGGAGAGUUGGAGUACAGUAGGGGGUAGUGGGAGAGUAGAGAGGGCAGGAGAAGUUGAGUAGGGAGUAGUGGUGGAAUAGGAGAAUUAGAGAUAGAGUAGGAGUAGAGUAGGAGAGUAGACAAGUGGCUUGUCCAGUCUCUUCUUAAAAAGCCUCCAGUGAUGGAGCACCCGCAGGGUAGGAGAAGUUGAGUAGGAGGAGAGGUGGAGUAGGGAGUAGUGGUGGAAUAGGAGAAUUAGGGUAGGAGGAGAGGUAGAGUAGGAGAGUAGACAAGUGGCUUGUCCAGUCUCUUCUUAAAAAGCUUUCAGUGAUGGAGCACCCACAGGGUAGGAGAAGUUGAGUAGGAGGAGAGGUGGAGUAGAGUAGGGAGUAGUUGUGGGAUAGAAGAAUUAGAGAUAGGGUAGGAGGAGAGGUAGAGUAGGAGAGUAGACAAGUGGCUUGUCCAGUCUCCUAAAAAUCCUCCAGUAAAGAAGCACCCGCAGGUAGAAGUGAGUAGGAGAGGUGGAGUAGAGUAGGGAGUAGUGGUAAAAUAGGAGAAUUAGAGAUAGGGUAGGAGGAGAAGUAGACAAGUGGCUUGUCCACUCUCUUAAAAAACCUUCAGUGAUGGAGCACCUGCAAAGUCUGGAGUGAAACUGUUCCCCUGGUUAAUUGUCCUCCCUGUCAGGAAGUUUCUCCUUAAUUCCAGGUUGCUUCUCUCUUUGAUUAGUUUUCAUCAUUUCUUGUCUUAGCCUCUGGUGCAAUUAAGUUUCUCCAAGUGUUUGUGCUAUGAGCCCCACUUGGAAUUAUAAAUGUGGGUGUGAAUGGCUGGUUUGGUCUCACUUUUUUCUUUUUCAUUCUGUUGUAGGAUUGAAGCCCCCCCCCCCUGUGUCCAGGAGGUCCUCCCUUGAGCAGUGAUGAGUCUGACUUCCUGGGAGAUCGUUGCCCAUCCAGGUGUUGCACGUGCAGCUGUUUCAGCUAACCAACUUUUCAGAAGUAACCGGCUAGGAAAGAGGGAACAGCAGGAAGGCGAUGCUGGAACGUGAUGCUGGCUCUUUAACAGAUGUUUAAAAUGAGCUCUGAAAGUCAUUGGCCAUCAUGAAGAUGUUUUGUUCUGAGUCUUACGUGGGAGCUGAGAGGCCAUGAGGUCCAACUCCUGCAGGACCCGUUGUACCACAGGCAGAUGGAGGACGGCAUUCCUUUGGAUAGGGAAGCUUCAGAAGUCCUACGCCAAAGGCCUCCGCUUGGAAUACCCCCAUCCGCACCUAUCUGCUCACGGCUCGAAGCGCCGCCAAUUCCGGGCCCCGAGCCCUAAAGACUCUCCAAAGCUGCCGACUGGAAACAGACGAAGCCCUCUUCCUGGCCAGCGCGCUCAAAGGCCCCUUUCUGGAGAAGAUCCGACCACACAAUCUUUGAUGACCAGGCCUUUCAUGAAGGGAGCACAAGAAAUGGGCAUUGUCGCCGCCCAUGUUCCUUAUGGGGUUGCCCAGCUCUCAGGACAAAAAAAGGCAGCCCCACGAGCCGCUCCCAACUGUCCACUCAGCCAGGCAAGGCGCUUAAAGCCAGUCAGCAGAAGCAACUGGUACAUGGAGGGCAGUGUGUAGGUUCACGUUACUCCCCUCCAGGUGUUCCUUGUGAGGAGGGGUGGGGCGACCUCCUCCCAAGUAGCCUUGCAGCCCUUGUCUGGGCUUGCCUCCACUCUCCUUGCCCUUGGAUCCACUCUCCUUGCCCUUGGAUCAAGUGCGGCUCGUCAGGAGAUCUGCUGCCUAUCAGCACCACUGCUAGUCAUUAGCCGAUCCUCCUGUGUCUGCGCAGGCAGGCAGCUCUCCGUCUGGUCAACCAUCUCCCCUAAUGCGAGGGGCCCAGGACCGCAUCGUCCUCAGCCCGUGGUGUGCCUUCCCUGGCGGAGGGUCCCAGUUCCAAUUCUCCCUCUUCACUGGCCUGAGGGGAGGGGAUCAUGGCACGGCUCCAAAAGCAGCCCAGAAGAGAAACCGCAGUAGAUCCACCACUUGCUCACCCGGCCUGGGAUUAUGGUCCUUCCUCAAAUAUAAAUUCUGGAAUUAAAUCCAGUGUUCUUGUCGGGGGGGGGGGCCCUCAGGACGCUGCCGUUCAGAUGGGGAGGGGCUGGUUGUUGAGAGUAGAAUCCCUUGCAUGCUCUCACCAGCCAGUUCCAGCCUGUGACCAUGGUCGCAACGCCCCCGAAGAUGAACCACACUAUCGCCUCAACAUCUCGGAGUUCUGUGCAGCAUUGUAUCGGCUACCGGUGGACUGGGGUAUCGGGGUGGGGUUUGAAUGAUUCUGCCUGACUUACCACCACCUGUUUGAAGAGCCAUGCUUUCUCCCGAGAUGAUAGCUGAGGCAGGUCCUUACAAUUCUAGGAAAAGCAGAGUAGAAUGGAACUACGAUGAUUAAGAAAUUGCAAAUACAUUUUUCCCUCAGUCA